rnacentral:rRNA from 1 species
UACGAAGGGGGCUAGCGUUGCUCGGAAUCACUGGGCGUAAAGGGUGCGUAGGCGGGUCUUUUAAGUCAGGGGUGAAAUCCUGGAGCUCAACUCCAGAACUGCCUUUGAUACUGAGAGCUUGAGUCCGGGAGAGGUGAGUGGAACUCCGAGUGUAGAGGUGAAAUUCGUAGAUAUUCGGAAGAACACCAGUGGCGAAGGCGGCUCACUGGCCCGGUACUGACGCUGAGGUGCGAAAGCGUGGGGAGCAAACAGG